GAUGAUUGAUGUAACACACAAUUCAUAGGUCAAUAUCGGGUUGUGUAACAUCUACAAUAGGUCAAUAUCGGGUUGUGUAACAUCUACAAUAGGUCAAUAUCGGAUGGUGUAACAUAUACCUUUUGUUUAUCAAGGGUGGUGUUACACAUACCACUGGUCAAUAAUGGAUGGUGUAGAAUAUACUACUGCGUGUAAAUAUUGGGUGGUUUGACAUAUUUUAGAGUUCAAUGUCGGGUGGUGUAACAUAUAUCAUAGAUCAAUGUUGGGCUGUGUAACAUAUACUUUUGGUCAAUCUGGGUGGUGUAACACAUACAAUAAUUAAAAAUCGGGUGGCGUAAGAAACCCAACUUAUAUUGAAGGUCAAUAUCGGGUGCUGUAAGAUGCACCAUACGUAUACAUCUGGUGUUGUAACAUAUUCACUAUCGGUCAUUAUCGGAUGAUUUUAAAACUCACUAUAUACAUGUUUUCUUUCAUUAGACUAAAUAUAAAUUCAUUUAUGUGAUACCUUUAAUUAUAUGAUUAUGAAUUGAAGAAUUUAUGCGAAAAUAAAUUCAUCUAAACAAUAUGUUUAAUGGUAGUGCAGACUUUUCAAACUGUAAAAAAAUUCGUUAU
rnacentral:misc_RNA from 1 species